CUUCCGUAAGGGGAACCUGCGGAAGGAUCAUUACAGAAUUUUGAGAAUUGUGCUUAACUGCACUUUUCUUAUCUACACACGUGUUUUUGUUUUAUUCUUAAAACUUGCUUUGGCAGUGGCUGCUUAAUUGCUCUGCUGCCAGAGGAUAAACUCAACCUAAAUUUUUUAUUUUAAACUAGUCAACUGAUUAUAUUUAUUAAUAGUCAAAACUUUCAACAACGGAUCUCUUGGUUCUCGCAUCGAUGAAGAACGCAGCGAAAUGCGAUAAGUAAUAUGAAUUGCAGAUAUUCGUGAAUCAUCGAAUCUUUGAACGCACAUUGCGCCCUCUGGUAUUCCGGAGGGCAUGCCUGUUUGAGCGUCAUUUCUCCCUCAAACCCCCGGGUUUGGUGAUGAGCAAUACGCCAGGUUUGCUUGAAAGUUAGGAGGAGUAUUUAUAACAAUGUAUUAGGUCUAACCACUCCAUUGUGCUUAAUAAAAGCUCCAAUCUAUAUUUCAAACUUCGACCUCAAAUCAGGUAGGAUUACCCGCUGAACUUAAGCAUAUCAAUAAGCGGAGGAA
rnacentral:rRNA from 1 species